AAUCCUACGGGGCGCAGCAGUGGGGGAUAUUGCACAAUGGGGGGAACCCUGAUGCAGCGACGCCGCGUGGGUGAAGGAGCGUUUCGGCGCGUAAAGCCCUAUCGGCAGGGAAGAAGGAGGACGGUACCUGACUAAGAAGCCCCGGCUAACUACGUGCCAGCAGCCGCGGUAAUACGUAGGGGGCAAGCGUUAUCCGGAAUUACUGGGUGUAAAGGGAGCGGAGACGGCUGUGCAAGUCUGGAGUGAAAGGCGGGGGCCCAACCCCCGGACUGCUCUGGAAACUGUAUGGCUUGU
rnacentral:rRNA from 1 species